UACGGGGGGGGCAAGCGUUGUUCGGAAUUACUGGGCGUAAAGGGCUCGUAGGUGGCCAACUAAGUCAGACGUGAAAUCCCUCGGCUUAACCGGGGAACUGCGUCCGAUACUGGUUGGCUUGAGUUUGGGAGAGGGAUGCGGAAUUCCAGGUGUAGCGGUGAAAUUCGUAGAUAUUCGGAGGAACACCAGAAGCGAAGGCGGCCAACUGGCCCGAUACUGACGCUGAGGCGCGAAAGCGUGGGGAGCAAACAGG
rnacentral:rRNA from 1 species